rnacentral:lncRNA from 1 species
UAUAAUGGUUUAAUUAGACAGACCAAGCAUAAUAUUUCAACACGAACCAGGGAAUGGUUGCAUAAGACGCACUACUAGACAGAACAUACGAAAGCACGCUUUCUAUAAGGCGAAAAGUGGUCUUGACGUAGAUACAUACAUACAUCGACUUAGUUUAAUUAUUAAAAACGAGCCCCGCUAUGGCAGAACCCAUAAGUUACCAGUAGCCACUGGUCUUAUUAAAACAAGUUUGUCACAUGCACUUGACUGCCACAUCGCACACUCCAACCACGGGCCCACGCUUUUUCCUACAGUUCAAACCAGCCAAUCGUAUUUCAGGGGGAGCAUUCACUUCCGCUUCUCGCUUUGACUAUUGUUGGUAUUGAGGGGAAAAUAACAAGGUCACCUGACUGUGCCCGGCGCCAUCUUUACUCGCAAAAUACAACACAUUCAAAUCAUUAUAAUACCAUUUAUUGACUCUUAAAACGAACAAAAAGCAAUAGACUUUACCUAUAUUUGAUGUCAUGUCUGUGUGUCGCUCCGCUACCGCUUAGAAAAAACUGUAGAGCAACUGCUUGGCGCAUGAUUGUUUUCACAAGUGCACCGGCUGGGUUGUUUGUUGAGAGAGAGCGCAUUUCACUGGCGACUCUGUCGUUUUACAACGUUAUUUCGAAAUCACUUCACACCAGGACAUUUUGCCCUUGAAGAAAACAGGAAAAAAAUCUUCUUCUCUCGAUCUGGCCACUGACUCCAACCCGCGCAAGCGGGCAGUUCUCAAGCCCUUUUGAUUGUACUUGCGCAUUAGUUGAGACCAUUUUUCCUCUGGGUGUGUCUCACUCGUUGUCUGAACGCCCUUGCUAGCAGUACUGCAUCAACUGUGUGUGUGUGUGUGUGUGUGUGUGGAUUGCAUUGCAGAGUGCGUGUACGAUGUGCGCAGAGCCAAAUCGUAUUCGCACGCUUUGUGGCACACACACGCACACAGUCGCUCCUUUUCACACCACCGACGGCUAACUUUUGUGCGUGAAAGGCGAGGAACGUCAUCAGGACAAAACGUAGAAAAUGAGCGAACGUACACCAACAUGUUUGCUCAUGCCAGUCAGAAAUCAUACUUUAUCGUUUUCACAGUGACAAUGGAGAGCGCGUGCAUCAUGUGACUCCACCGAGCAGGGUUAGAUAUUUGAAUACAAUGUCAUUUGGAAAAACGCGGGGUUAUUUCAAGAGGACAGAUGGAUUGAUGAGCAUUUGCACCAUCUGCUAUAAUGCUAAAAAGAGUGACGCAAGGAUCAGCUCGUGACGUGUUUAAUCAUCAACCUUGACAAUUCAUGUCAGUGUCACUUUAAAACAAUGCUUUUCUUGGUUUAUUACCAUAUUCGUUACACGAGAUCAGUCAUUUUGUGAGGCAGUUUCAGGGGCGUUCCCUGUGUUUUACAAAACUGGAGUAGCAUGUGUCAGGUUUUAUUUGUCACAACAGCACUGUACAUGCAAAAAUGAAAUUAAAAUGUGAAGACAACAGUGCAAUCAAUAGGACAGAACCUCUGUUUUUGAGUCAUAGUGUCAUGUGUAUGAGUAAUCACUUACUCUUGAGUAAUGCAUACUUCAUGACAUAAAAAGCAAGUUCAAUCAAAUUAUUUACUCCUUGUCCAGAAAUGAGUCAUAGCUAGACUUCUCUAGCUGUAUGCCACACCGAAUAUUUCUUUAAACGAAAGGAAUCACCAGACCACUAAAGUUAAACAAAUCUCUCUAAAAUACACCUUAUUUUGAUUCACACCACUGCAAAUAAUGCAAUUUAUUAAAAAAUGACUAUCAUGCAUUUCUCACUUAACUGCACUACAUCUGAAUAUCUACAGUGCUUGGUUUGACUAAUGUUUCAGGGCGUUUCUGAACUGACCUGGACUGUAAUAAAGAAACUUCAGUUACGAUCUGACUAGUUUUCUAAAUGACAUCCUAACUGAAAAUAUUUCUGUAGUAAUGCCCCCUGAACAUUUAUUUCAACUGUGUUAGCACUGCUUUCACAAUCGGUGAAAGACUUCCUGCAUAAUUUCUCUAGCCUGCUACCUGCUAAAUCCCGCUUAUGCUGUCUGUGCAUUUUUAAUGGUUUGCUCUUUGUUAAGAAAGCAUUGGAUACGAGCAUACAUUUAAAUGGAAAGAUUUGGGGAGUAUUCAGUACAGAGCAAAUGUAUGAUUCCAGGGGCUGUUUAAGCAUACGUUAGGAGAAGCUGCUUUUUGUUCAAACUGGAGAUGCUUUAUGAUUUGAAGCAUCUCCUGGAUGGAGGGUUUUGACAGUAAUCUUGUCUCCACACUUUAUCCCUUUUGGGUCAUGCAGGGCAUUGAUAGAGGCCAGUGCUGUGACAAUGCAUGCACAAUUGACUGGUUGUGAAACAUUUGCAUGGAGAACAUCUUGUUUUACCCUCUGUGAAGGUGGUCUCAUGAUGCAGUUAUGACACUGGCCUUUAGAAACUUGAUUGUCUCAACAAUAUUUCCAUGUAUCAAUUAUAAGUUAAUGGAAUAUGUUGAGAUAUGCAUUUGCAUAAAUACAUCUAACAGCUGUUCUUUAGAUACAGAUGUUACAACACAAGGCUGCCAAUCUGACCUGUUUUAUCUGACUUAUUAGAUAUUUGAAUUGUGCUGUUAAUGGCUCACUUUCAUAAUUUAAGGUCCACUAAACACAGUUAUUAAAAACAAUAUAUGGGUGAAAGACAGUGACCUAAAUGCUGACCCAUGUGUUAGGCUGUAUAACUUAUCUUUGUCAACAUGUGUAAAGGCUGCAUUCUCUUGAAACACCACUAGAUGACAGCCUUUCAUAGGCUGAAAACUAUGCCACAUUAGAUUAUGAUUUCUGUUUUUAAUUUUUAAUUUUUUAAUUUUUUAUCCUAAUUCAUGUUUUAUAACCUUUUUCGUUCAACUACAAAAAUGUAUAGAUGCCACAAAGAAACUUGUUCAGCACUAUUAUUAGGACUAUUAUGAGGAUUAAUCUGAAAAGGAUUGUGUGUUUGGGUCUGAGCAAAUGGAGCACAUCCUUCAGUGACCAAUUGAUUAUAACCUUUCACUAAUAAUACGCUUUAAGGUUUGCUUUUUUCAUAAAAUAAUACGCUUUAAGGUUUGCUUUUUUUUCAUAAAAUAAUAAUAAUACAAACAAACAAACAGAAACUUCUGUUUCUCAGUAUGCACAUCGAUGGCAUAUUGCUGCCAUCUUCUGGUUUGUUAGUGAAAUACAACAGCCCGACACAAUCUCCUGAACAGUUUCACCAUCUUUUUUUUUACUCUCUGCCGUUAACUGUUUGAGUUUAUGAAACCUAAAUAUCCACUUGAUAUGACCGUGCUCGUAUAGAGUCCUGUAAAGUGUAAUUUUAAUUUUCCCAUUUUUAUAGCACAGGCCCGAAUGUCGAACUUUUUUAGCACACAAAUGUACAGUCAUUGACAUGAUGGCAGAUUUGCUGUUACAUUAUACAUACAGCUAAGUACGACCUCCAACCUUAUAAAUAAACCUUUUUCUAUUGACUACAUGUGUACUUUAUUGAGUCCAUAGUUGCAGUAAAAUAUUUUGACCACACGAUGGCAGUCUAAGAAAACAAGUUAACAGUCUUUAGGAAAAGUGAAUAUUGCUGGUGAGGCCUGUAUUCGGAGCUCAUCGCUAAAUAGUCCCAGAGAAAUCUACUGAAAGAAAAUGAGAAACAUUACAAUCACUUUGUCCAUUAGGAUACAAAACACUUGAACAAAUGAUUUAUUUCUUAUUAACUUAAAUCAGAGGCUAUGUGUAUGUAUGUACACAAAAGCUGUCACCGAGGUGGUACCCUUUCAAAAGGAACUAAUAUGUACCAUUUAGGUACUGAUAUGUGUUUUUUUUUAAGAGCAAUAUGUACCUUUAAGAUACAAAUGUGAAUGAAAAUGAUGCAAAGGUGUACCUUUUGUAAAGGUACUGCCCCAUUGACAGCUUUUGUAAAUUAUUAUUUUUUUUUUUCUGAGAGUGUAUUAAAUUAGAUAAGAAUACAAAUACAUUUGCAUUGUACCAACAGAGGGGUGUAUAGGCCUACUGCUAAUCAUCUUAAAAUCUGCAUCUUUUUGGACUGCAUUGAACAAACACUCUCUGAUGUCAACAUCAAGAUGGAGUGAUGGCCAAAAGGGGGUGGUUUUGGAGGGUGGGGUAUUUGUCAGAUGAAACAAACUGAAAUAAACCCCUGCAUUCAUUAUUCAUGUUAAUUGACUCUAGGAUCAGAUCUAAGACGGAGAUUGUAAUUUGAUAGCCACUUAGAGGGUAUGGAUAUCCUGCUCUACAAAAGCAUUCAAGACCAUGUGGCUGAUUCAAAUUAUGCCAUCUCAUAGUAACAUUACAAGCAGCUGAGACAGUUUCAUGCUUUUAAAAAGGGCCGUGAUUUAGAUUUUAGAAACUGUUAUGGAUGCACAACCUCUAUGCAACCAAGGGUUGAAAUCUUCAUUACUCAAAACUGUUAAGUAGUGCUCUAUAUUCUACCUGCGAACGGGGGAAAAAAAAAAUCUUCUUUUGUGCUUCAUGAAACAAAUAUCACCAUACGGCUUUAUAAUGACAAGAGGAUGAGUAAAUAAUGACAGAAUUUAACACCACAUGCUCAGAGAAACACUCUCUGAUGUCAACAUCAGAUG